ACGGUAACAGGAAAGAGCUUGCUCUUUUGCUGACGAGUGGCGCACGGGUGCGUAACGCGUAUACAAUCUGCCUUCAAGCGGGGGAUAGCCCAUGGAAACGUGGAUUAAUACCCCAUGGUAUUAUGAUUUCACCUGGAAUUAUAAUUAAACAUUUAUGGCUUGAAGAUGAGUAUGCGUCCUAUUAGCUAGAUGGAGUGGUAACGGCACCCCAUGGCGACGAUAGGUAGGGGUCCUGAGAGGGAGAUCCCCCACACUGGUACUGAGACACGGACCAGACUCCUACGGGAGGCAGCAGUGAGGAAUAUUGGACAAUGGAGGCAACUCUGAUCCAGCCAUGCCGCGUGCAGGAAGACUGCCCUAUGGGUUGUAAACUGCUUUUAUACAGGAAGAAACCUCCCCACGUGUGGGGAGCUGACGGUACUGUAUGAAUAAGGAUCGGCUAACUCCGUGCCAGCAGCCGCGGUAAUACGGAGGAUCCAAGCGUUAUCCGGAAUCAUUGGGUUUAAAGGGUCCGUAGGCGGGUUUAUAAGUCAGUGGUGAAAGUCUGUCGCUUAACGAUAGAAUUGCCAUUGAUACUGUAGAUCUUGAAUUAUUAUGAAGUGGUUGGAAUGAGUAGUGUAGCGGUGAAAUGCAUAGAUAUUACUCAGAACACCUAUUGCGAAGGCAGAUCACUAAUAAUAUAUUGACGCUGAUGGACGAAAGCGUAGGUAGCGAACAGG
rnacentral:rRNA from 1 species